UGUGGAAUAUUGGACAAUGGAGGAAACUCUGAUCCAGCAAUUCUGUGUGUGUGAAGAAGGUUUUAGGACUGUAAAACACUUUUAGUAGGGAAGAAAAAAAUGACGGUACCUACAGAAGAAGCAACGGCUAAAUACGUGCCAGCAGCCGCGGUAAUACGUAUGUUGCGAGCGUUAUCCGGAAUUAUUGGGCUUAAAGGGCAUCUAGGCGGUAAGACAAGUUGAAGGUGAAAACCUGUGGCUCAACCAUAGGCUUGCCUACAAAACUGUUGAACUAGAGUACUGGAAAGGUGGGUGGAACUACACGAGUAGAGGUGAAAUUCGUAGAUAUGUGUAGGAAUGCCGAUGAUGAAGAUAACUCACUGGACGGAAACUGACGCUGAAGUGCGAAAGCUAGGGGAGCAAACAGG
rnacentral:rRNA from 1 species